rnacentral:rRNA from 1 species
AGAUGUUCUGGGCCGCACGCGCGCUACACUGACAGAGCCAACGAGUGUCUUCCUUGGCCGAAAGGUCUGGGUAAUCUUGUUAAACUCUGUCGUGCUGGGGAUAGAGCAUUGCAAUUAUUGCUCUUCAACGAGGAAUUCCUAGUAAGCGCAAGUCAUCAGCUUGCGUUGAUUAUGUCCCUGCCCUUUGUACACACCGC